rnacentral:rRNA from 1 species
GAUGAACGCUGGCGGCGUGCCUAAUACAUGCAAGUCGAGCGAACAGACGAGGAGCUUGCUCCUCUGACGUUAGCGGCGGACGGGUGAGUAACACGUGGAUAACCUACCUAUAAGACUGGGAUAACUUCGGGAAACCGGAGCUAAUACCGGAUAACAUGUUGAACCGCAUGGUUCAACAGUGAAAGACGGUCUUGCUGUCACUUAUAGAUGGAUCCGCGCCGCAUUAGCUAGUUGGUAAGGUAACGGCUUACCAAGGCAACGAUGCGUAGCCGACCUGAGAGGGUGAUCGGCCACACUGGAACUGAGACACGGUCCAGACUCCUACGGGAGGCAGCAGUAGGGAAUCUUCCGCAAUGGGCGAAAGCCUGACGGAGCAACGCCGCGUGAGUGAAGAAGGUCUUCGGAUCGUAAAACUCUGUUAUUAGGGAAGAACAAAUGUGUAAGUAACUAUGCACGUCUUGACGGUACCUAUCAGAAAGCCACGGCUAACUACGUG